rnacentral:lncRNA from 1 species
GUACAUUUUUUGUACAGCUUUUUCGUGUUUCCAGCUGCUAUUUUCGUCCUUGAGGUUGUGGGAUGAGGCCACGUCGCGCCCAAGGACGGGUGAAUCAAUCUCAGCCGUCUAUCUCACUAUUUCCACUUUCGGAAUGAGGUUGGAGCCUCAGAAAAAGAGGUCUCCCCUAAAAUGGUGAAAGGUUUUGCAAUUUGAAUUUAUUGGGCCUUGAUCCCCAUCCGGAUUAGAGCCUUUUCCCAUUUUUUGGAACCCUAAAUUUUCCACUAUAAGUACUCUGUUUCUUCCAUUGUUAGGGGAGGAUUUUUUAUUUUUCUUUUGAGUUGAAAAUUUGGGCAGAGAACAGAGGAUUUUUUUUGAGUUAGAGGAGCCUUUUUUUUAUAUAGCAAAAAUAUAAGAAUAGCUUAAGAAGUAGUUUGAAUACAUAUGAAAUACACUGUGAAAUAGAGAGUUUAACUUGUCUAAGAACUUAGUUUUUACUUUCCUUUUAGUGCUAUCCAUCGCUCUAUCACAAGUUCAUUCGAACUCGAGAUAGCUUGCUCAGAUUUCUAUCCAGACUCCCUAUUUGCUGUCCGGGGUCAAGUUCGUGUAGUGGUGCGAAGUUGCUGCUCCUCUCUGCUCGCCCCGUCCUUGUUCACUGCUCCCAUAAAGGUAUAUUCCCUUUUCACCUCCGUUCAUUUGUCUUUAAAUUGGCGUCACACUGGAAGAAAUGAAGCUUCCUGAUGAUUUUUCCUCUCCUUCUCAUAUUUGUCUCUACUCAUUUUUAUCUAUUUUUGAUCUAUUACUGAUGCCUAGUGACGGACUGUUGGUUUUAGAUUAAAUGUAUCUUAGUUGUUUGAAGCAUAAGAUAAGUUCUUGGGUUUGUUGUUGUUUUGUUUGGGAAUGUUGAUUCAUGAUCUUGGAGCUACUUAAUGAAUGUUACUGUAUUUAUUGUCCCUUAGGUGCAACAAGCUAGUUCUUCUUUCGGUUGCGGCCAUUUGUCUUAAAAUCUGUCCAACGACUAAUUAGCAUGAACAUGUUAUUUUGAUUGGUCUUAGUCUAGUAUGCUUAAGGAGUUUUCUAUCGUUUCUUUUGGUUUGGCUAGCAUUUAUUUCAUGUUGUCGGUUUGUUUUACAAUUUGUCUAGUUCAGCCUGUGUGUUUUCCUUUUUCUACUUACUCGUUUAAGUCAAAUGUUUGUCAUCUUCACGCUUUGUUCGAAUAAAGUCCAUGCUCCCUACCUAGUCUAAUUUUAUUUUUAUUUAUUUUUUGUCAAAAUUGCCUGCUGCCAGGAUCUGUUUUUCCUUUCGUUUGGAUGGUGUUAAGUUUCUCGAUCUCCAUCUAGUUUGGUCUUAAUAUGGUACUUCAUUUUAAAAUGGUGAUUCGUAGAUCUAUCUUUAAAUGUUUGAUUAUCAUGUUUAGGUUGUUGAAACUAUGUUGGUUUGAGCGAUAUUGUUAGUUUCCUACUUGAUCGUCUCUACUUGCCCUUCCUAUGUUCCUAAUUCUAUUCGAGAGUAAUGCUCGGGUAUUCAUAGUGUAUGCCUACUGUUUCUCUGGUUCAGAUUUCAAAAGGGAAUUAAGUUUUGGUCGUUUGUGCGAGUCUCGCAAUUUAAAAGAUCGCUCACUGUUUAUUGAAAUGAUAAAGUGUUGCUUAAUGCCACAAUUUUCUAGUUACGCAUAAACUCUUUUCAUUGUCUUUAGUAUUUAUUCAUUUCACUUCUCCAAUUAGCCAAUUAGAGGUGUGAAGCAAAGUGAUAGCAUUUUGUUAAGUUGAUGAUUUUUAUUUUUUAGCUUGUCUGAAUAAAAGUUUAAUGUGACUCUUUUCGUGAGAAUUGAGUCGGGUAUGCGCAUAUCUUGACCUUUUCCUUUUUCUUUUUUUACCUUUUCUAUUAUUGGUGAAUUUGUAUACUAAUCCAAAUAUCACUGUUCUAGCUUAAAAUAUGGCUUAUCUAAUUAUUUAUAUAAUGUUGAUAUGACUGAUAACGGCUUUAAUUGUGCACUAUUGAAUUUGGUUUUAAGUGGUAACAACUUGAAUUGCUUUUGUUCCAAAUUAUGACCGUGUCUUAUUUUAUUUUCUUGUAUUUCAAUUGCUAAUGUUGUUUCCCUUUUAUUUUUAUGUAAAAUCCGCCCGAGUUCAUCGUGAACUCCCUCCUCCUCUCUUUGCAUGUCAUUUGGGCCACGAAGGCCUAAACUCCUUUAUCCCCGAGUCAGCCGACAAGCAAAUUUGAAGAACAAGUCCCUCAAAAUUUGACGAACAGGAAUUGGAAGUUGAUACAUCAAGAAUAUACAAUAAUAUACAUUAAGUGUAUAUGUUGUAUAUUGAGACAGAACGAGGCUCCCAAAAGCCUGUCUCUUUACCCCGACUUGUAUUUUGUUAUUUUGGGCCUAAGCCCCCCCUUUUGUCAUUAUUUAUUAUUAUCUUAUUAGUAUUUAGGACAGGUGGAAGACGGGCCUAAGGCCUAAAGAAAUAAUUUUCAUGUUAGUUUAGGACAGGUGCAGAUAACAAAAAAUUGGGCCAAAAGCCUAAAACGAAAAUGGGCUCGAGUGCUGGCCCAGGCGAACAGAAACCAGACUUGGGCCUCCAAGCCUCUUUCCCUCUUUAUCUUUUUUGUGUUUGUUUAUUUGCUAAUAUCUGUUAUUAAUCUUAAGGUUAAAAAAUUCAAAUCCCUGAAAGACGCUUAUUUCGUUUUAACAAUUUUACUAAAUCGAUCACCUUUAAAAGGACUUAAAGAAUUUUUGCAAGGAAAAUAUCUCACUUAGUCAAUUCUUCUUUUCCCCCUUUUAAAUAAAAUAAAAUGGACUUAAUUAUAAAAUAGCAUUAUGUUUCAAUUCAAGUUAAGUUAAUUCACUUUUGACCAAAUAAAUUAAUUAUCGGAUAACCGCAUGUUAGCGGGCAUUUCGGGUGCUUUCAAACCCUUCCCGAAAUGCUAAUAAGAACCCCCGA